rnacentral:rRNA from 1 species
AUACGGAGGAUGCAGGCGUUAUCCGGAUUUAUUAGGUUUAAAGGGUGCGCAGGCGGUAUUAUAAGUCAGUGGUGAAAGUCUGCCGCUUAACGGUAGGAUUGCCAUUGAUACUGUAGUACUUGAGUGUAAUCGAGGCAGGCGGAAUGUGUCAAGUAGCGGUGAAAUGCAUAGAUAUGACACAGAACACCAAUUGCGAAGGCAGCUUGCUAGGCUACAACUGACGCUCAUGCACGAAAGCGUGGGGAUC